GUCUACAGCCAUACCACCCUGAACAAGCCCGAUCCCAUCUGAUCUUGGUAGCUAAGCAGGGUCGGGCCUGGUUAGUACUUGGAUGGGAGACUGCCUAGGAAGACCAAGUGCUGUAGGCG
rnacentral:rRNA from 1 species